GAUGAACGCUGGCGGCGUGCCUAAUACAUGCAAGUCGAGCGAACAGACGAGGAGCUUGCUCCUCUGACGUUAGCGGCGGACGGGGGAGUAACACGUGGAUAACCUACCUAUAAGACUGGGAUAACUUCGGGAAACCGGAGUUAAUACCGGAUAAUAUAUUGAACCGCAUGGUUCAAUAGUGAAAGACGGUUUUGCUGUCACUUAUAGAUGGAUCCGCGCCGCAUUAGCUAGUUGGUAAGGUAACGGCUUACCAAGGCAACGAUGCGUAGCCGACCUGAGAGGGUGAUCGGCCACGCUGGAACUGAGACACGGUCCAGACUCCUACGGGAGGCAGCAGUAGGGAAUCUUCCGCAAUGGGCGAAAUCUUGACGGAGCAACGCCGCGUGAGUGAUGAAGUUCUUCGGAUCGUAAAACUCUGUUAUUAGGGAAGAACAAAUGUGUAAGUAACUAUGCACGUCUUGACGGUACCUAAUCAGAAAGCCACGGCUAACUACGUG
rnacentral:rRNA from 1 species